rnacentral:misc_RNA from 1 species
AAAGUCGUAACAAGGUUUCCGUAGGUGAACCUGCGGAAGGAUCAUUACAAAUCCACACGUCUCUCUUACCCGAGACAACGUUGAACCCCGUCCGACCCCCUCCUGGACGGCCUCCCUCUCGCACGCUGUGAGAACAGCAGUGACGGGGCUGGCCGUGCAGGAGGCUGGAAGGACUAUAUGACAACACAAUGUUCCCUCGUGUGACCCAUUUGUACCAUGGUGCAUGCUAUGAGUGGGAGAUGUGACGGGGGCUUUGCUUGCGCAUUCGCCUGAUCCCCUCCCUUCAUAUGUGCAACAUAUUCAUUCUUAUACAACUUAUAACAAUGGAUCUCUAGGCUCUU